GGACUAGGGAUGCACGCGGGCGCGGUAAUACGAAGGGGGGUAGCGUUGUUGGGAGGAUCUGGGCGGAAAGGACGCGGAGGCGGCUUUGUAAGUCGGUGGUGAAAGACUGUGGCUCAACCACAGAAUUGCCUUCGAUAGUGCAUGGCUUGAGACCGGAAGAGGUAAGUGGAACUGCGAGUGGAGAGGUGAAAUUCGUAGAUAUUCGCAAGAACACCAGUGGCGAAGGCGGCUUACUGGUCCGGUUCUGACGCUGAGGCGCGAAAGCGUGGGGAGCAAACAGGAUUAGAUACCCGAGUAGUC
rnacentral:rRNA from 1 species